rnacentral:rRNA from 1 species
GACGAACGCUGGCGGCGUGCUUAACACAUGCGAGUCUAACGGAAAGGCCCUGCUUGCCGGGUACUCGAGUGGCGAACGGGUGAGUAACACGUGGGUGAUCUGCCCUGCACUUCGGGAUAAGCCUGGGAAACUGGGUCUAAUACCGGAUAGGAGCCAUUUUUAGUGUGAUGGUUGGAAAGUUUUUUCGGUGUAGGAUGAGCUCGCGGCCUAUCAGCUUGUUGGUGGGGUAAUGGCCUACCAAGGCGGCGACGGGUAGCCGGCCUGAGAGGGUGGACGGCCACAUUGGGACUGAGAUACGGCCCAGACUCCGACGGGAGGCAGCAGUGGGGAAUAUUGCACAAUGGGCGCAAGCCUGAUGCAGCGACGCCGCGUGGGGGAUGACGGCCUUCGGGUUGUAAACUCCUUUCGCUAGGGACGAAGCUUUUUGUGACGGUACCUAGAUAAGAAGCACCGGCUAACUACGUG